rnacentral:rRNA from 1 species
GGGACUUGUAUGAAUGGCCACACGAGGGCUUUACUGUCUCUUACUUCCAAUCCGUGAAAUUGACCUUCCCGUGAAGAGGCGGGAAUACAACAACAAGACGAGAAGACCCUAUGGAGCUUUAAUUAACCGACCCAAAGAGACCCUAUUAACUUAACCGACAGGAACAACAAACCUCUACAUGGGCCGACAAUUUAGGUUGGGGUGACCUCGGAGAAUAAAAAAACCUCCGAGUGAUUUAAAUCAAGACUAACCAGUCAAAAGUAUUACAUCACUUAUUGAUCCAAAAACUUGAUCAACGGAACAAGUUACCCUAGGGAUAACAGCGCAAUCCUAUUUCAGAGUCCAUAUCGACAAUAGGGUUUACGAC